rnacentral:sRNA from 1 species
AUUUAUCGAGAACUCAUCAUAUGACAGAAACGAUGUAAUAUGCCUAUUCCAUGGUAUAUGUGGUCUCAUUUAAUUUACACAGCCUUGUGAGGUAGAGGAUAUUUUCCACCCUCUUCCCCAUGCCAUGACAAAUGGUGAAACUGAGGGCCAGAGAGGUUAGGGAGAUUUCCCAAGUUCACCCAGCUUGUCAGUGAGUCUAAGAGUGGGGGAAAAGAGGUUCUAGCCUGGCUCCCUGGCAUCAAAGCAGGUCAUCUUGAUUGCUAUUGAGGAUUUGACAGGUGAGACCUAGAGGAGGGCUGUGAGUUGACCAAGGGUACACACAGCUUAGGAAUCACAGCUGGGGCUUGAACCCAGCCAUGGGAUCUUCAUCUCCUAAUAGUAACAGCUUCCACUCUCACCCAAGCCUAGUCCUCCCUGAGGAUGGGCAUCUGGGACAGAAAACCAGGAGCAUGCCUCUGGGGGAGUCCAUCCUGGUGGUUGGGGUUGCAGGGGGACUCAGAGGAGCCAAGGCCUGGCCCCAGCCCUGUUCCCUUCUCUGGCCAGGCCAAGUGGCAACGCCUGGCCAUGGAGGGCAGCACCUGUCUGGACGUGUUUGAGCACAUCAGCCUUAUGACCCUGGACAGUCUGCAGAAAUGCAUCUUCAGCUUUGAGAGCAAUUGUCAGGAGAAGCCCAGUGAAUAUAUUACUGCGAUCAUGGAGCUCAGUGCCCUUGUAGUGAAACGGAAUAACCAGUUCUUCCGGUACAAGGACUUCCUGUACUUCCUCACUCC